UACGUAGGGUGCGAGCGUUAAUCGGAAUUACUGGGCGUAAAGCGUGCGCAGGCGGUUCGUUGUGUCGGCGGUGAAAGCCCCGGGCUUAACCUGGGAAUGGCCGUCGAAACUGGCGAACUGGAGUGUGGCAGAGGGGGGUGGAAUUCCGCGUGUAGCAGUGAAAUGCGUAGAGAUGCGGAGGAACACCGAUGGCGAAGGCAGCCCCCUGGGCUGACACUGACGCUCAGGCACGAAAGCGCGGGGAGCAAACAGG
rnacentral:rRNA from 1 species